rnacentral:lncRNA from 1 species
UUUUUUUUUUCUUGGAAAGAUCGUUCAUCUUUGUAAAAUCAAGCUUACAUAUCUGACAGCUUCCAAACUUGCAUGAUAAGAAAUCAUGUCUAGAAUACAGAGGAGAGUUCUGAAAGGGAAAAGUGGUAACAGAACAGUGCACCAAAGGUUAAUUUUGUCCGUGUAAUAUGUGCCCACAAGUCUAGUCUAUUCUCUACAGCCCAUAUCUCCAAAGGUUGGCCUUAUCAGUUAAAAUAUAUAUAUAUAUACACUUAGCAAAGCCAAAAACAGUGCAUGGGCUAUAGUCUUAUCCUAUGUUCAACAUACUAAUCUCCAAAGAUCAGCAAAUUAAAAGAUUUACUUGACUGACACAUAUUGUCAAGAAAUUGGAUUAUUUGAUAGCUGUUAUCUUCAGUAGACACUGUAUAUCAAUAGAGUGCCAGCUAAGGCUGUUAGAGUGAAAAAUAGUUUUUAUGUUAAUUUGGAGACCCUUUUGAUUUACUCAAGUCCCUAAGGAAUGCAAUUAACUAACAUAACAUUAGGUUGAGCACAGAAACAUCAACAAACACCAUCUACCAAUCUCUUUAAAUUACUGACGGUCACUGUCCUAGAAACAUAAACAUUCUCAUAUCCAUCACUAUUUCAUAUCUUUUUAAAUUUCUCUCUGUAUUAAUUACCUCCAGUAGAUUUCAAUUGCUCUUGCCCUUUCUUCUUAAAGCCAUUUAAAUAAGUAAGCAUUUCAUAUUUUUAAGGAAAUUUAUUUCUCCAAACUGCAGGCUUACACUGAUAAAUUAUGGCACUAAUUCAUUUCACAGAACCUAAAGUUUUGAACAUGAACCAUUUUCAGGCUAGAGUAAAUACAUCAUGUGCUAGACGGCAGAAAUACUAUAUUGCAUCUUAGUUGUCUUUGAUACUAUAAACACCCUGGAAAAAGUAAAAUGAAGAGAAUUAGGUUCGAAGAGCUAAGGCACAUGGAGUUCCAGAAUCCCCAGAUAGCAGACACACUUACAAAGUCUGGUAAAGGGCAGAAAGGAUAUGACAACAUACAGAAGAUCAAAGAAGCAGAGCAGGGAUGCCUGGGUGGCUCAGCGGUUGAGUGUCUGCCUUUUGCUUGGGGCCUGAUCCCAGGGUCCCAGGAUGGAGUUCCACAUUGGGCUUCUUGUGAGGAGCCUGCUUCUCCCUCUGCCUAUGUCUCUGCCUCUCUGUGUCUCUCUCAUGAAUAAAUAAAGUCUUAAAAAAAAUAAAAAAUAAAAAGCAGAGAACCAUUUUGAAGAUCUAGUCUAACCCCCUCCUUUCACAGGUGAGAAAACAGACCCAAAAAGGCCAACAGACUUACUCAUAUUGCAAGUUAGAGUGAAAUAAAAACCAGGUCUACUGACACUCAGCCCAUCGCCUUUUCCACUCACCACAUCCAGGUUUCCAGCAAAACUUUACAAAAAUAUUCUCAUUCCCACAAAAGAUUGUAGGGACAGGGGGAAAGCUAAAGCUUUAGAGAUGCCUGUCAAGGGAUCCCUGGGUGGCUCAGCGGUUUAGCACCUGCCUUUGACCCAGGGUGUGAUCCUGGAGUCCCGGGAUGGAGUCCCACAUCGGGUUCCCUGCAUGGAGCCUGCUUCUCCCUCUGCCUAUGUCUCUACCUCUCUCUCUCUCUCUGUCUCUCAUGAAAAAAUAAAAUCUUAAAAAAGAGAGAGAGAGAGAGAGAGAGAUGCCUGUCAAGAGGCCAGACCACCCGAAUACUAGAAUAGCAAAUCUAAGUAACUAAGGUUUCCUAAAGAAGUGCUCCCAUAACAUCAUUUAUUCAUUCUUAAAUUUGGAUAUAGCAAGAAUAGUGUUAAUACAAUGAAUCUCUAAGACUAACAUAUUUCUCCAAAACUGGUCUCAGAUCCAGGAUCAAGUGGCAAGUAAGUAUCUGUCCAACUCUGACAGACUUCUGCAUUUCAGAGAUUCACUGAAACCUUAAGACUAAUUUCUAUGUGCUAGUACAAAAGGAUGGCAGAAGGUGCCAUAUUCUCUGUCCCAGUUGACCAAAUAUAUUGGUCUAUCAGGAUCAGGGGCACAAAUGUUUAUGCCCUUUUUAUUAAAAGAUCUACAAAUAUUUUUAAAGAUGUAAAAUUAAAAAAAAACAUUUUAUAACUAGGUUCUCAGAUAACUAUAAUACAAAAAAACUAUGCAAAUGAAAAUGCUGUUACAUUAGGCAGAAAUGUAUCAUCACUUAGUAAGAAUAUUUGACCAAAUAAAAUUUAAACAUCUUCAAUUUUUAAGAAAUAAUUCUACUUUAACUCCCCUUUAUAAUAUACUUUUCAACCUGAUUUUUAUUCCCUACCCUCAGCUUUACUCACCUUGCAUGGAUUUGGACUUCAAGAGUCUACUCUUAAAACUAUAGCUUUUAGAGAUACCUGGCUGGCUCAGUUGGAAGAGCAUGCAACUCUUGAUCUUGAGGUUGUUAGUUCAAGCCCCAUGCUGGGUAUAAAGAUUAUUUAAGAUUAAAAAUCUUAAAAAAAAAAAAAAACUAUAGCUUUUAUUACUUGUAGAAAUUUAAGCUGUGACCUAGUCAAAAUCCAGUUUCUCUGUCUUCCUACUCACUCUGAGUCUGUUCCUUUCUGUGGAGUCAGUCAACCAACAUAACUCGUCUCUGAUCUAGGGGACACCAAGAAGAGGGCUCCAAGUCCGUAUUUCAGAACAAAAAAAAAAUGCAAGGAUUCUGAAGAGUGGAAAUAAUAUAAAGGCAACUGGUAGGUAGAAUUUAACAUCUUACUUGAUUCCACUUAAUUACGCAUCUAACUGGUCAGAGUUCCACUUUGACCUCAAUAUUUAUGGGCACAGGAAACUUCCUAGUAAGGUAUAAUCCCAGUAUGUAGCUAAACUGAAUCAGGGUAAGGUAAAAGGCGCGCUAACAGAAAUUCUGUGCCUCACAAACCCCACCUCUUUAUUUGCAUAUAAAGGACUUGAAUGCAGCUAAAAGAAUUUUCCAACUGUUCCUCAAAGAAAUGGCUGGUACCCUCCCAGCGGUCAAUUCUGGGGCGUUCAAAUCUGCCAACAAACUGCCACAACCUAUUCUCAGUUGGAAUUUGAAAAUUACAGUAUGAAAAAAAAAAUUCCUUUGUGAAGAAAAACUCCAAAAUGGCAACAGUCAUUUUACUAUGGGAGAGAGGUGGGUAUAUGGAAGGGGUUAUGCAUAUUUCCUCUUUUCUAUCUUCUGAAUUAUCUAAUGGGAUUUAACAAUGACAAGCAUAAGUAAAGUAACCUGAAAUUUGAGGUCCAGUAACAAUAUUCAGAAAACAUCAACCACCAUGUUUCCUUAGUAUUGAUCUGCUUGCUCUCCCUUCCCAUAGAAAACUCCAUAUUACAUGGAAGGCACCACAGCCUAGAGGUUAUGAACAGACUGUGGAUCAAGCAGCCUGCUUCCCAUUUUGGCUCCAUCACUACUAGUCUCAGGACCUCAAGCCAACUAGUUAACAUCUCAGUGCCUCAGUUUCCCCAAAGGUAAAAUGAGUACAAAAUGCUACCUACCUCUCAGGGGUUGUUGUGAAGAGUAAAUGAGCCUACUUAUAAAGCACUUAGUGCUUGGCACAUAAGAAGGGCUCAAUAAAGUUUAGCUACAGGUGGCUAUACAUAAGGCUGCAUAGAGAGUGAUAAUUGCUUAUUACUGGAUUUACAAGACAGUUACCAACCAAGUGGCCAGUUGCCAUCUGUUAAACAUGCAGUGGUCUAAUAAAAUUUAAUCAGUGAGUAUCUGAGCAUGCACUUAGUGUAGCACUCUGUAUGAAGAUUCUCCAGUGAAACAGGUAGUCUGGAACUCAAGUUCCAGAUCAAACUCAAACAAUGAAGUUGAGAGAGAAAGGGGGUCUAAAAAGAACAGGAGAAACCAAAAGCUUCUGAGGUAAUGAAAGCAUAAAGCCCCCAAAAGAAGCUAGAUUUGCAGCAAACCCAAUUAGCACAGUUUUGUGACUUCAGCAAAUCAGGGACAGGGAAGCCUAAUUAGUAGACUUUACCUAAGCCUGGGAAUUGGCCUGAGAAAAGUAGUCCAGGUAAGCAUCUAGACCACAUGGAGUCAGACUAAUGAUGACACAGAACUGAGUGGAAUUAUGGAACUGGCCAACGCAAGGAGAAAACCGGAGCACAAGAUCCAAGCAUCACCUGUGGAGCUUUUUUAAAUGCACAAAUUCAUGCUCCAGAGAUUCUCCAGGUCAAAGACAGAGCCCAGAUGAUUGUAUUUUUAAAUAUCACUGGUGAUUCUGAUGCAUACCCCACACUAAAACAAAGUAGGAGCACAACAGUAGAAUAAAUAGAAUAAGUGAUUAAAAGCUGAUUAGAUUAGGGAAAAACUUCAAAGUUUGAGAUCAUGAACAUGGAACAAGUUUCAGUAAAAGGUUCAAAGUGUAUAAAGGUCACUGGAAUUUGCGGGGUACUAGGAUACUACAGAACCACAAGGCCAGCAACAAGGUUAAAAGAGAAUUUGCAUCAUGUAAUCUCAUUUAAGGGUGAGAGCAAUGGGUCUCAAUCUUGACUGCACAUUAGGAUAACCUGAGAUUUUAUUUUAUUUUAUUAGAUUUUAUUUAUUUGUU